GGGUAAUAUAUAUUAAUCCCACUGAGCUAUACUAUAUUACUGGAGGACCUGCUCGGGGAAAAAAAGUGUCGCCAAAAACAUGGCGGAUCUUACGCCAUUUCCAUGACAACACUUCCGAAAUUUUCAUGGUAAUUGCCACUGACCAACCGCGAUCCUAAGCUUUCGACGAUGUCCUUAACCCCCCUGGUUUUUGGACAGAAAUAUUAAAGAUAUUUCAAGUUUUCUGUUGUUUUUGAGCUAAAAAAUCUUAAUAUUUUCCUCCAACAUUACUUGUUUUACAACGCGGAGCGAGGGUGCGGGUUUGCUUCGCUUGUGGAUGCAGCAUUUCACUACAAAGAAAGACUAAUUCUUUCAGGUAAGAUUCACGAAACUUUUUUAUAACUUUCUAGAGUCACUAGACCCUUCGAUUAUGAUUUGUCAAAAACUCAUCAUCCUAAUAUAUACAGCAAAUAUUUCAAUAGGGGACAUAAAAGUAUUGUUAAUGAUUAAACAUUGUGUACAUGAAAUUAUGUUGUUUUGUGUCAGCACUGGCCUUUGUGGUUUUAUUGCCAGUUUUUAAUUUAUACUAAAAAUUGUGGUUGUUUACAUGUUCAUAUAUUUUAAAACGUUUAUUAAAUAUGGUGUGAAAUUUAUAUACCUGCCCAUCACAGUGCAGAAUUAGUAUAUAUAGAUAAGCACAAGACCAGAGAGAGUUGAGCCGUAGAGGAGACUACAUGUGACAAUCCAUGUGCCCUGUCCUGAUGAGCCCUAAAGACUGUCUUUAUUAUACAGUGGGUUAAUAAUUACACUAUCGGCAAAUAAACAGCCCCUGAGAUAUAUAGUCAGCCCAGUAUUAAACUGCAAUAAACCCUGGCUACCUUCUUAUUUUACUCAAUCUGUGAGAUUAAAUCCAGAUGUUUUACUCAUCAAGGGAAGAGUCUUAAAAAUAGAUAUCAUUUUGCACCAUUGCCUGUUUAGAACUAUGUAAAACUACUAUAUAGUUUUACACAGCUUGUUGGCAACAAAAAUGUUGGCAACAAAAAUGUUGCCCACAAGCUGCCGGAAUUUAAGUGAGUCACUGAUACACUAAUCAUGAAGUAAAUUUGGAAUGCUACAACAUUUCUAACAAGGGCAGAUUUUCAUUUAUUUAAAAGGAGGGGUAGAAGAAUUUCUGGUGGCCGGGUGCAAGCAGCACCACUCAGUGAGCUUUGGCAGGGGUUAGGUGUUUGGGUUAUAAAGUCUUUCACACAAAACGGGAGGGGAAUUUUGGUGGGGUUGAACACUCUAUUAGAGGGGUUUACCCCCCCCCCCCAAUGAUUUCUAACAUUGGGAGUAGUGAUGUCCAAUUGGCCAUGGCACAGACUGUGAGAAAUUAUGAUGAUGACAUAUUUUAGUUAGGAAUGUAAUUGCAUUGCUGAAUACUGAAACAUGACAUUUAAUUUUGAAGCUCGGAUCAAUGGUCUUGGUAAAAACAGAUCAUGUAAUUGCACCCUUGACUAGUAAAAUUGUCUGGCGUUAGGUAGAUUAAAAUAAUACAGUAAGGCAUAUCAAGACACAUUGCCACUUGGCACUUGUGAAGGGUUAACAUAUGUGUAUAUGAUAUUGUGAUGUAUUAAAGAUGUACUGUAUAAUGUAUCAUGAUAAUAAUGUCAUCUUUUAUUUUGCAGAAAUUAUAUGUUUAAUGUACACAAGAGAUGGCACUGAGGCAUCAACAUGCAGAAAAACAUGCAGAACAACAAAAUUAAUUAGUUAAUUAUAAUACCAUGCAUAACAACAUAAAUAAUUAUAUGAUUAUGAUAACUUUAUUGAAGUGUAAAUAAGUUUUAUUAAAUUAAUAGCAAUUAAAAUUAUACAUUUUUGUUUUUUAAAUUGUUUACUGCUAAUUAUUUUUCAAAAAAGUCAAAUACACCCUUCCGGAAUGUAUUUCACCUUGUCUAUGGAGCCUCAUUUUCAUGUAUGUGACAUGAGUUAAAGUCCAAUGUCUCAAUCGUGAAAAUGAGACUCUAUAUAUAGCCAAGGUGACAUAAUUUCUG